UGUCCCGUGAGGGAUGCUGGAGGUAUCAGAAGUGCGAAUGCUGACAUAAGUAACGAUAAAGCGGGUGAAAAGCCCGCUCGCCGGAAGACCAAGGGUUCCUGUCCAACGUUAAUCGGGGCAGGGUGAGUCGACCCCUAAGGCGAGGCCGAAAGGCGUAGUCGAUGGGAAACGGGUUAAUAUUCCCGUACUUGGUGUUACUGCGAAGGGGGGACGGAGAAGGCUAUGUUGGCCGGGCGACGGUUGUCCCGGUUUAAGCGUGUAGGUGUGUGUUCCAGGUAAAUCCGGUUCACUUUAACACUGAGGCGUGACGACGAGGCACUACGGUGCUGAAGCAACAAAUGCCCUGCUUCCAGGAAAAGCCUCUAAGCAUCAGGUAACAUCAAAUCGUACCCCAAACCGACACAGGUGGUCAGGUAGAGAAUACCAAGGCGCUUGAGAGAACUCGGGUGAAGGAACUAGGCAAAAUGGUGCCGUAACUUCGGGAGAAGGCACGCUGACACGUAGGUGAAGUGAUUUACUCAUGGAGCUGAAGUCAGUCGAAGAUACCAGCUGGCUGCAACUGUUUAUUAAAAACACAGCACUGUGCAAACACGAAAGUGGACGUAUACGGUGUGACGCCUGCCCGGUGCCGGAAGGUUAAUUGAUGGGGUCAGCGCAAGCGAAGCUCCUGAUCGAAGCCCCGGUAAACGGCGGCCGUAACUAUAACGGUCCUAAGGUAGCGAAAUUCCUUGUCGGGUAAGUUCCGACCUGCACGAAUGGCGUAAUGAUGGCCAGGCUGUCUCCACCCGAGACUCAGUGAAAUUGAACUCGCUGUGAAGAUGCAGUGUACCCGCGGCAAGACGGAAAGACCCCGUGAACCUUUACUAUAGCUUGACACUGAACAUUGAGCCUUGAUGUGUAGGAUAGGUGGGAGGCUUUGAAGUGUGGACGCCAGUCUGCAUGGAGCCGACCUUGAAAUACCACCCUUUAAUGUUU
rnacentral:rRNA from 1 species